ensembl:lncRNA
UACGUUAACAGCCGUGGCACCUCUCCCUUAAACUCCCGCUACGUUAACAGCCGUGGCACCUCUCCCUUAAACUCCCGGUACCUCUAUCAGCCGAUGCACCGCUCCCUUUUGUCGUUGCAUGCCUCCGUUAGGUCGUGGCAAGACUCCCUUAACUCGAGGUACCGCUGGAGGUACCUCUCUCGACCGAUGAACCGGUACCUCACUCAGCCGAGGCAACAGGCGAGGCAGUUGCCGUAAACUCGAGGCAGCUGCCACGAUUCGCCGCGGCACCGCAACCUGCAACAGGAAGUGCCUCAGCGAGUUGCCGGUGCCACAAUUUGCGCUAGCCCUCUCUCCUGCACAGAGUGGCGACAGAGUGCUCCGUGCCCCGUCCCCCUUUUGGCUCUUGGGUCCUCUCAACCGGUGGGAAUGCUCAUCAGCUGGCUGAAAUCCACCGGGGGUGAUUUAUGUGACAACACUCAGUUGAUUCGGGCGACUGCUGCUUUGCCUGCAACUUUGACGGCUGCUUUGCCUGCAACUUUGACUGCCGCUUUACUGAGUAGUUAAUCGUUUAGUUUGUAUUUCUUUUGGUUUGUUCCAUUUAUUUUCUUUUGGUUUGGGUUACGUAAAUUGUUUGGGAUUAGGAUGAUUUUUAUGUGAAUUUUCUUUUUCUGUUUUGUGUUGUAAAUUUUUGGUUUAAUCCUCUUGUAAACCUUCUUUUUUUGUCAUCCUUCCCAGCGGCUGUAGGCUGGUGGUGGCGCCGGUGGUGUCGGUGGUGGUGGUCUUCUUCGUGUGUCGUGUCCCAUUGGGUUGUUGUGCUAUCACUGGGUGAACUCUGGUUUGGUUUUCUCUAAGUUUGUUCUAUUAAUUUUCCUUCCCCUUCACCGGCGCUUCUCACCAUUAGGC